UGGGGAAUAUUGGACAAUGGGCGAAAGCCUGAUCCAGCCAUGCCGCGUGUGUGAAGAAGGUCUUCGGAUUGUAAAGCACUUUAAGUUGGGAGGAAGGGCUGUAGGCUAAUAUCCUGCAGCUUUGACGUUACCGACAGAAUAAGCACCGGCUAACUCUGUGCCAGCAGCCGCGGUAAUACAGAGGGUGCAAGCGUUAAUCGGAAUUACUGGGCGUAAAGCGCGCGUAGGUGGCUAAGUAAGAUGGGUGUGAAAUCCCCGGGCUCAACCUGGGAACUGCUUUCAUAACUGCUUGGCUAGAGUACGGUAGAGGGUAGUGGAAUUUCCUGUGUAGCGGUGAAAUGCGUAGAUAUAGGAAGGAACACCAGUGGCGAAGGCGACUACCUGGACUGAUACUGACACU
rnacentral:rRNA from 1 species